rnacentral:rRNA from 1 species
UACGUAGGGUGCAAGCGUUGUCCGGAAUUAUUGGGCGUAAAGAGCUCGUAGGCGGUCUGUUGCGUCGGCUGUGAAAACCCGGGGCUCAACCCCGGGCCUGCAGCCGAUACGGGCAGACUAGAGUUCGGCAGGGGAGACUGGAAUUCCUGGUGUAGCGGUGAAAUGCGCAGAUAUCGGUAGGAACACCAAUGGCGAAGGCAGCACUCUGGGACGUGACUGACGCUGAGACGCGAAAGCGUGGGGAGCAAACAGG